CUAAAUGAAAAUACAUAAACUCCAUGGUCUGAAACUUUCAACUGCAAAACAAUGGAAUGUUUAUUGAAGGAAAUGUUUGGGAGGCAGAGAUAGGAGGAUUGCUUGAGCCUAGAAAUUUGAGACCAGCCUGGGCAACAUAAUGAUAUCCCAUCUCUGCAAAAAUUAAAUAAGUAACUGUGUGUGGUAUCACGUACCUGUAGUCCCAGCUACUCGGGAGGCUGAGGUAGGAGUAUUGCUUGAGCCCAGGAGUUCAAGGCUAUAGUGAACUGUGAUCACGCCACUGCACUCCAGCCUGGGCCACAGAGCAAGACUCUGUCUCAGAGAAAAAAAAAAAAAAAAAAAAAGGUGGCAUACAAUUAAAGAAUGUUCUUAAUCCUCAAGUUCAUUAUGGUAUGAGAUGACAGCAAAAGUAUUUUUUCUUGUCAUGACAACUGAUUUUUAUAAGCUGCAUUAAAGUCAAUAGAACUCACAUAUUAGAUUUAUUCAUUUUUUUUCUAUUUAUACGUUGAGGAUGGCCAGGGCCUCUAAGGAUUUCCCCAAUUCUGAGAAUUUUUUAUUUUUUAUUUUUUUUCUGAGACAGAAUUUCACUCUGUUACCCAGGCUGGAGUGCAGUGGCACGAUCGCAGCUCACUGCAACCUCCACCUCCCAGGUUCAAGCGAUUCUCCUGCCUCAGCCUCCUGUGCAGCUGGGAUUACAGGUGCGCACCACCACAACAGGCUAAUUUUUUUUUUUCUUUUUUUAGAAGAGAUGGGGUUUCACCAUGUUGGCCAGGCUGGUCUCAAACUCCUGACCUCAAGUGAUCCACCACCCACCUCGGCCUCCCAAAGUGCUGGGAUUGCACGCGUGAGCCACCAUGUCCAGCCAGAGAAUCUGUAAUCACCUAUCAUUCAUGCCCUGAAUUAUCUUCUCCCUGCUACUGCCCACUGUCCUCACCUAUCAUUUUCCUAAAAGCCUCAUAAAGCAGAUCACCUUGUCACACUUGCAGACUGAGGCUACUCACUAUGGAAUUCUACCUUAGCUACCUGGAAAGCUCUAGUCUGUAAAGUUUCAAAGUGUUCCCAAGUGUGGUCAAUCAUCUGUAACUUAUCAAACCCAUAAGACCCUGUUUCCCUGUGGGGACUGAUUCCUCCACUGUUCCAAUAUUCUUCCUGACCAAGGUCUGAGCACAGAGCACAGACUGAAUAACUUUUUCAAAGAAAACAUCAAAGCCAGUAGGAAACAGAGGUACAAAUAGGAAGAGCAGUGACUUUUUUUUUUUUUGUCACCAACCUUCACUGUAAUGGGACAAACUGGGGUGUAAGAUCGUGAAUUCUAGGUACGAAGCUUCAGGUUAAAUAAUAACAGUCACCUAACCUGAAAGUCACCAUAUUUCAAGGAAAAGAGAGAAAUACAAACUUACAUGGACCAUGUUGCUAGAAUUACAAAACUGGUCAAUCUUCCUCGGGCUUCUCCCCUGGAAAACAACAACAACAAAAAGGCCACAAUUAAAGCUGUGUCUCAAAAGCAAAUAACUAUUUUAUCCUCCGUUCCUAUUUCUCAACUACUCCUGCUAACACGCACACUUCCACCCUUCUCCCAUCACUCCCCUUGCCCCCACACACACUCUCUCACAAAUAGCUGGCAGUGAACGGGUGGAGUAGGGAUGAAACCAAGCUCUCGCCUGCAUCCCAGGGAACCUGCGGCAGAAGCAUGAAUGCCGAGCACAGGCAUUUCUGCCUUGAAGUUGUGGCUUCCAGCCAGUCCUCCAUUCUUGGGAUACCUAUCUUGGCCUAGGUCUGGACCUCUGAUCCUGCCCUUAGCAGAUCCUCCUCCCCCAGUCCCACCUUUCAGAGCUGAGAAGGGAUUGCAUCAUCCAAACCAGAACCUCUUUGUGAAAUCAGGAUUGGGUGCAGUGGGGGAAGGCAUGAGAACUGGAAAGCAUAUUUGCACUGGCAGUGUUUGCACCAAAUUGCACUGACAGUGUUCAGCAUUCUAAAUUCAGCAAAAGCCAGUUGGUUAAUACAGUUCAGAACAUCCACUUAAUAGAAUACAAAGUAAAUAUUAAACGUUCAAGAUAUAUGAUUAACAGAAAAAUCAGGUUACAAAACAGGAUAGAUAAUAUGAUUACAUUUGUAAAAUAUAUGUAUAUAGAAAUACUAAUAAAAAGACUAACAGACAUUAAUAGAAAAAAAUUUAGAAAAUUAUAUACAUGUUAAGAGUUCUCCUCUGUGUAUUGUAGCUCCAAUUUUCUUCUUUUUGCUUAAGAGCAUUUCAUGGCCGGGCACGGUGGCUCACACUUGUAAUCCCAGCACUUUGGGAGGCUGAGGCAGGCAGAUCACGAGGUCAGGAGAUCGAGACCAACCUGGCCAACAUGGUGAUACCUCGUCUCUACUAAAAAUACAAAAAUUAGCUGGGUGUGGUGGUGCAUGCCUAUAAUCCCAGCUACUCAGGAGGCUGAGGCAUGAGAAUCGCUUGAACCCAGGAGGCGGAGGUUGCAGUAAGCUGAGAUCGUGCCACUGCACUCCAGCCUGGCAACAGAGCGAGCCUUCAUAUAAAAAAAAAUUGUAACUACAUCCAAGCAUUAACUUGGAAUAUAUAUAGUUAUAUUCACACACACACACACGUGUGUGUAUAUAUAUAUGUGUGUGUGUAUAUAUAUAUUUUUGAACUUGGGGUGGGAAAUCAGCAUACUCUAAUGAACUGUUGUUUUUACUUAACAAGUUUGUUUCCUUUAUUUUCCAAUUCUUGACCAACACUAAGAUGUCUAUGUUUUUCUAUGUAUGUUGGAGCAAUCUCUAGAAAAAAUUGUCUACAAGUCCCCAACCAAUGUCUUGUAUGCAUUAAUGAUAUACAAACAUCAACUCUAAACAGAUUAAAGACUUAAAUGUAAGAUCCUAAACUAUGAAACAAAUAGAAGAAAACAUAGGGGGAAAGCUCUGUGAAACUGAUCUGAGCAAUGAUUUUUUUUGGCUGUAUAUACUAAGGUAACCAGAAGUCUCAGAAUAUAUCCAAUGAAAUGGAAGAUAUCCUCACAAGUAUUGUGAAUAUUGAAUAUGGAAAAAUUAGAUUGCAGUUCAUAUUCUUGUAGUUAAUGUAUCUUGCCUUCAAGGUACAUCUCUUUUUUUGCCAUCUCUUUUUUGUACCCUAAGAAGGGUACAUUUCUUUGAUAAUUAUCUUUACAAGGCAAACAUAUUGGUUCUAUUUAUGAUUCCUUUGAAUGUUAAGCCAAAUUUAGAUGCUGCAGUAACAUAAGGCUUCUCAACUGCGCUCCAUUCUGACACAAAUUGCAAAUUGAUCCAGUUAAAAAUUGGAGCAUCAUCAAAAGACUAUUC
rnacentral:lncRNA from 10 species